UACGUAGGGGGCAAGCGUUGUCCGGAUUUAUUGGGCGUAAAGAGCUCGUAGGCGGUCUGUCGCGUCCGUUGUGAAAACUCGAGGCUCAACCUCGGGCUUGCAGUGGAUACGGGCAGACUAGAGUGCGGUAGGGGAGACUGGAAUUCCUGGUGUAGCGGUGGAAUGCGCAGAUAUCUGGAGGAACACCGGUGGCGAAGGCGGCAUCCUGGACCAACACUGACACUGAGGAGCGAAAGCCAGGGGAGCAAA
rnacentral:rRNA from 1 species